rnacentral:tRNA from 1 species
AGGUGCAGCUUAAGGAAAAAGUGAUUUUGAACAUCAUAAAAAGAAGUUCGAUUCUUCUAUGCACCUA